rnacentral:rRNA from 1 species
AUUGAACGCUGGCGGCAGGCCUAACACAUGCAAGUCGAGCGGAUGAAGGGAGCUUGCUCCUGGAUUCAGCUGCGGACGGGUGAGUAAUGCCUAGGAAUCUGCCUGGUAGUGGGGGAUAACGUCCGGACACGGGCGCUAAUACCGCAUACGUCCUGAGGGAGAAAGUGGGGGAUCUUCGGACCUCACGCUAUCAGAUGAGCCUAGGUCGGAUUAGCUAGUUGGUGGGGUAAAGGCCUACCAAGGCGACGAUCCGUAACUGGUCUGAGAGGAUGAUCAGUCACACUGGAACUGAGACACGGUCCAGACUCCUACGGGAGGCAGCAGUGGGGAAUAUUGGGCAAUGGGCGAAAGCCUGAUCCAGCCGUGCCGCGUGUGUGAAGAAGGUCUUCGGAUUGUAAAGCACUUUAAGUUGGGAAGAAGGGCAGUAAGUUAAUACCUUGCUGUUUUGACGUUACCAACAGAAUAAGCACCGGCUAACUUCGUG